UGCGAAGGGUGCAAACGUUGCUCGGAAUUAUUGGGCGUAAAGCGCACGUAGGCGGCUCUGAAAGUUGGAUGUGAAAGCCCUCGGCUCAACCGAGGAAGUGCAUCCAAAACUGCAGAGCUUGAGUACUUAAGAGGAUCGCGGAAUUCCCGGUGUAGAGGUGAAAUUCGUAGAUAUCGGGAGGAACACCAGUGGCGAAGGCGGCGAUCUGGGAAGAUACUGACGCUGAGGUGCGAAAGCGUGGGGAGCAAACAGG
rnacentral:rRNA from 1 species